rnacentral:tRNA from 1 species
GAUCUUAAGGUGUGUGUGCAUGUGCGAUUGCAAGUCGUGAGGGAUUGAAGAAAGUUCAGUUGAGAUUU